rnacentral:rRNA from 1 species
AUUGAACGCUGGCGGCAUGCCUUACACAUGCAAGUCGAACGGCAGCACGGGAGCAAUCCUGGUGGCGAGUGGCGAACGGGUGAGUAAUAUAUCGGAACGUGCCCAGUCGUGGGGGAUAACGCAGCGAAAGCUGUGCUAAUACCGCAUACGAUCUACGGAUGAAAGCGGGGGAUCGCAAGACCUCGCGCGAUUGGAGCGGCCGAUAUCAGAUUAGCUAGUUGGUGAGGUAAAGGCUCACCAAGGCGACGAUCUGUAGCUGGUCUGAGAGGACGACCAGCCACACUGGAACUGAGACACGGUCCAGACUCCUACGGGAGGCAGCAGUGGGGAAUUUUGGACAAUGGGCGCAAGCCUGAUCCAGCAAUGCCGCGUGCAGGAUGAAGGCCUUCGGGUUGUAAACUGCUUUUGUACGGAACGAAACGGUGAGCUCUAAUACAGUUUGCUAAUGACGGUACCGUAAGAAUAAGCACCGGCUAACUACGUGCCAGCCGCCGCGGUAA